UGUUUGUUUGACAGAGUUAGUUGAGAAUAAAUACAGACAACUUUUAACAAUGGAUCUCUUGGCUCUUGCAACGAUGAAGAACGCAGUAAAGUGCGAUAUGUAGUGCGAUUUGCAUGAAUCUGUGAGUCAUCUAAUCUUUGAACGCAACUUGCGCCUUUUACGAGGCAUGUUUGUUUGAGUGCCGUACUCCUCUGCAGCAAUGCGAUUUGAUCAGUGUCUUUGCUGACCUGGUUUAAACAGAGCUAGAGGAUGGUCAGUUUGGGCUAGUCCAAGUGCUAAGCAUUCUUGGGCCUAGAACAGAUUGCUCAUUAAUCUAACUUUAUUAUUUUGGCCUCAAAUCAAGCAAGACUACCCGCUGAACUUAAGCAUAUCAAUAAGCGGAGGA
rnacentral:rRNA from 1 species